UUGGUCAUUUAGAGGAAGUAAAAGUCGUAACAAGGUCUCCGUUGGUGAACCAGCGGAGGGAUCAUUACCGAGUUUACAACUCCCAAACCCCUGUGAACAUACCUAUACGUUGCCUCGGCGGAUCAGCCCGCGCCCCGUAAAACGGGACGGCCCGCCGCAGGACCCAUAAACCCUGAAUUUUAUUGUAACUUCUGAGUUUAAAAAACAAAUAAAUCAAAACUUUCAACAACGGAUCUCUUGGUUCUGGCAUCGAUGAAGAACGCAGCAAAAUGCGAUAAGUAAUGUGAAUUGCAGAAUUCAGUGAAUCAUCGAAUCUUUGAACGCACAUUGCGGCCAUAGGUAUUCCUUUGGCCAUGCCUGUUCGAGCGUCAUUUACGCCCUCAAGCCUAGCUUGGUGUUGGGCGUCUGUCCCGCCGAUUUCUCGCGCGCGGACUCGCCUCAAAGUCAUUGGCCGCGGUCGUGCCAGCCCCCUCGCGCAGCACAUUUUGCGCUUCUCGGAGGCUCGGCGGAUCCCGCGCUCCAGCAAGGACCUUUCACGACUUGACAUCGGAUCAGGUGGGAGUACCCGCUGAACUUAAGCAUAUCAAUAAG
rnacentral:rRNA from 1 species